rnacentral:lncRNA from 1 species
CACAAAUAAUCUGAACUGCCCAGCUGGUCCACAUACUGAAAUGGAGACUCAAUGAGGUUAUGGCUGUAAGACAACUGUCUUCAUGUUGAAUCGCCAUUAAAGUGAAUGUAGGAAAAAUCCCAUCACGGCAUAAUUGGUGGACAUACACAUUCAGAUAGCUUAUCGGUCAAACCACAUCUCCAAAACAGCUGAAGAGAGACAAAUCUGGAUGGUCCUGGACACUCAUUUCCUCCUUCAUUUUGGUUAUUUGGCAGAAAACUAGCUCGGCAGAUGUAGUCUCACUCUGUUGCCCAGGCUGGAGUGCAGUGGCAUGAUCUUGACUCACUGCAACCUCUGCCUCCUAGGUUCAAGCGAUUUCCCUGCCUCAGCCUCCU